rnacentral:rRNA from 1 species
UAGGGAAUCUUCCACAAUGGACGAAAGUACUGAUGGAGCAACGCCGCGUGAGUGAAGAAGGCUUCGGCUCGUAAAACUCUGUUGUUAAAGAAGAACAUAUCUGAGAGUAACUGUUCAGGUAUUGACGGUAUUUAACCAGAAAGCCACGGCUAACUACGUGCCAC